ACCUGUUACUUACUCCAGUAAUAUCAGACUGCUACAAGGGAUCUAUAGGAAGCAUUGGAAUAUUUUGUGUGUGGAUGAUAAGGCAAUUAGGUCUGU